rnacentral:rRNA from 1 species
CCUACGGGAGGCAGCAGUGAGGAAUAUUGGUCAAUGGACGCAAGUCUGAACCAGCCAUGCCGCGUGCAGGAAGACGGCUCUAUGAGUUGUAAACUGCUUUUGUACGAGGGUAAACGCAGAUACGCGUAUCUGUCUGAAAGUAUCGUACGAAUAAGGAUCGGCUAACUCCGUGCCAGCAGCCGCGGUAAUACGGAGGAUUCAAGCGUUAUCCGGAUUUAUUGGGUGUAAAGGGUGCGUAGGCGGUCGGAUAAGUUAGCGGUGAAAUCCCGAGGCUCAACUUCGGAAUUGCCUCUGAUACUGUUCGGCGAGAGAGUAGUUGCGGUAGGCGGAAUGUAUGGUGUAGCGGUGAAAUGCUUAGAGAUCAUACAGAACACCGAUUGCGAAGGCAGCUUACCGAGCUACUUCUGACGUUGAGGCACGAAAGCGUGGGGAGCAAACAGGAUUAGAUACCCCUGUAGUC